rnacentral:rRNA from 1 species
GGAGGUCACUGCUAUUGGAGUUCGGCUAAGCCAUGCGAGCGGAGGGUGCGGUCGAAAGAUCGUGGCCCCGCACACGGCUCAGUAACACGUAGUCAACCUACCCUUGGGACGGGGACAACCUCGGGAAACUGAGGCUAAUUCCCGAUAGGCGAGGGACGCUGGGAUGCCUCCUCGCCCAAAGCUCCGGCGCCCGAGGAUGGGACUGCGGCCUAUCAGGCUGUUGGUGGUGUGACGGACCACCAAACCUACGACGGGUACGGGCGAUGGGAGUCGGAGCCCGGAGAUGGGGACUGAGACAAGGCCCCAGGCCCUACGGGGCGCAGCAGGCGCGAAAACUCCGCAAUGCGCGCAAGCGUGACGGGGGGAUCCCAAGUGCCGUUGGUCUUUUGAUCGACGGCUUUUCGGAAGUCCAAGAAGCUUCCAGAAUAAGGGCUGGGUAAGACUGGUGCCAGCCGCCGCGGUAACACCAGCAGCCCAAGUGGUGACCACGAUUAUUGGGCCUAAGGCGCUCGUAGCCGGGUCAGCAAGUCCCUUGUGAAAUCGGGCCGCCUAACGGUUCGGCGUGCAAGGGGUACUGUUGGUCUUGAGGCCGGGAGAGGUCGGAGGUACUCCUGGGGUAGCGGUGAAAUGCUCUAAUCCUGGGGGGACCACCAGUGGCGAAGGCGUCCGACCAGAACGGACCUGACGGUGAGGGGCGAAGGCUAGGGGAGCGAACGGGAUUAGAUACCCCGGUAGUCCUAGCUGUAAAGCAUGCGGGCCAGGUGUCUAGUGCUCCUCGAGGGCACUAGGUGCCGGAGGGAAGCCGUUAAGUCCGCCGCCUGGGAAGUACGGCCGCAAGGCUGAAACUUAA